UACGAAGGGGGGCUAGCGUUGCUCGGAAUCACUGGGCGUAAAGCGCACGUAGGCGGAUUGCUAAGUCAGGGGUGAAAUCCUGGAGCUCAACUCCAGAACUGCCCUUGAUACUGGCGGUCUCGAGUCCGGGAGAGGUGAGUGGAACUGCGAGUGUAGAGGUGAAAUUCGUAGAUAUUCGCAAGAACACCAGUGGCGAAAGGCGGCUCACUGGCCCGGUACUGACGCUGAGGCACGAAAGCGUGGGGGAGCAAACAGG
rnacentral:rRNA from 1 species